rnacentral:rRNA from 1 species
CCUACGGGAGGCAGCAGUAAGGAAUAUUGCGCAAUGGGGGCAACCCUGACGCAGCAACGCCGCGUGGGCGACGAAGGCCUUCGGGUUGUAAAGCCCUUUUCGGAGGGACGAGUAAGGACGGUACCUCCGGAACAAGUCUCGGCUAACUACGUGCCAGCAGCCGCGGUAAAACGUAGGAGGCAAGCGUUAUCCGGAUUCACUGGGCGUAAAGCGCGCGCAGGUGGCCUGUCAAGUCGGACGUGAAAUCUCCCGGCUCAACUGGGAGGGGCCGUUCGAUACUGUCGGGCUUGAGGGCAGAAGGGGAAGGCGGAAUUCCCGGUGUAGGGGUGGAAUGCGUAGAUAUUGGGAGGAACACCGGUGGCGAAGGCGGCUCUCUGGACCGAUACUGACGCUGAGACGCGAAAGCGGGGGGAGCAAACAGGAUUAGAUACCCGGGUAGU